AACGGCGAGUGAAGCGGCAACAGCUCAAAUUUGAAAUCUGGCCUCGGCCCGAGUUGUAAUUUGUAGAGGGAAGCUUUUGGCGCGGCACCUUCUGAGUCCCCUGGAACGGGGCGCCAUAGAGGGUGAGAGCCCCGUAUAGUUGGAUGCCUAGCCUCUGUAAAGCUCCUUCGACGAGUCGAGUAGUUUGGGAAUGCUGCUCAAAACGGGAGGUAAAUUUCUUCUAAAGCUAAAUACCGGCCAGAGACCGAUAGCGCACAAGUA
rnacentral:rRNA from 1 species